rnacentral:rRNA from 1 species
CUAUGACUGGGCUUUUCUUGCGCAGUCUAAGUGGGAGGCGUUGAAGAUUUCUUUUCGGAGAAAUAAGAGCCGCUAGUGAGAGACCACUCUAGAAAAGUCGAGAUUCUAAAGAUAGUCCUUGAAUCAGGAUAUCUAACAUUCUCAGGUGGACAGUUUCACUGGGGCGGUGACCUCCUAAAGAGUAACGGAGGUGUACAAAGGUUCCUUCAAGCUGGACGGAAAUCAGCUGGAGAGUGCAAAGGCAAAAGGGAGCUUGACUGCAAGACCUACAAGUCAAGCAGAGACGAAAGUCGGUCUUAGUGAUCCGACGGUUCCGAGUGGAAGGGCCGUCGCUCAACGGAUAAAAGUUACUCUAGGGAAAACAGGGCUGAA